AGUUUGAUCCUGGCUCAGGAUGAACGCUGGCGGCGUGCCUAAUACAUGCAAGUCGAACGCGCAGCGAGAGGUGCUUGCACCUUUCAAGCGAGUGGCGAACGGGUGAGUAACACGUGGAUAACCUGCCUCAAGGCUGGGGAUAACAUUUGGAAACAGAUGCUAAUACCGAAUAAAACUUAGUAUCGCAUGAUAUCAAGUUAAAAGGCGCUACGGCGUCACCUAGAGAUGGAUCCGCGGUGCAUUAGUUAGUUGGUGGGGUAAAGGCUUACCAAGACAAUGAUGCAUAGCCGAGUUGAGAGACUGAUCGGCCACAUUGGGACUGAGACACGGCCCAAACUCCUACGGGAGGCUGCAGUAGGGAAUCUUCCACAAUGGGCGCAAGCCUGAUGGAGCAACGCCGCGUGUGUGAUGAAGGCUUUCGGGUCGUAAAGCACUGUUGUAUGGGAAGAAAUGCUAAAAUAGGGAAUGAUUUUAGUUUGACGGUACCAUACCAGAAAGGGACGGCUAAAUACGUGCCAGCAGCCGCGGUAA
rnacentral:rRNA from 1 species